rnacentral:tRNA from 1 species
AGAAAAGUAAGCUAAAUCAAGCUAAUGGGUUCAUACCCCAUUUAUGGAGGGAUUGGACCUCUCUUCUCUA